rnacentral:rRNA from 1 species
GAUGAACGCUAGCGGCAGGCUUAAUACAUGCAAGUCGAGGGGCAGCAUGUCCCGACGCAAGUCGGGAUGAUGGCGACCGGCAAACGGGUGCGGAACACGUACAGAACCUUCCUUCGAGCGGGGAAUAGCCCAGAGAAAUUUGGAUUAAUACCCCAUAGCAUAUUGAUAAGGCAUCUUAUUAAUAUUAAAGAUUAUCACUUGAAGAUGGCUGUGCGGCUGAUUAGGUAGUUGGCGGGGUAACGGCCCACCAAGCCUACGAUCAGUAACUGGUGUGAGAGCACGACCAGUCACACGGGCACUGAGACACGGGCCCGACUCCUACGGGAGGCAGCAGUAAGGAAUAUU